rnacentral:rRNA from 1 species
GCAAGUCGAACGGCGGCACGGGUGCUUGCACCUGGUGGCGAGUGGCGAACGGGUGAGUAAUACAUCGGAACGUACCUUAUCGUGGGGAAUAACGCAGCGAAAGCUGUGCUAAUACCGCAUACGCCCUAGGGGGUAAAGCGUGGGACGAAAGACCUCUCGCGAUUAGAGCGGCCGAUGUCUGAUUAGCUUGUUGGUGGGGUAAAAGCCCACCAAGGCGACGAUCAGUAGCUGGUCUGAGAGGACGAUC